rnacentral:lncRNA from 1 species
GUCACAGGAGCCAAAUACAUUAACUAAGAAGGUCUGAUCACACAUCUUUCACCCAAGGUGUUGCUGAAAGGAAAUAAGAAAGGGCAGGUAUGAGAGAAAACCAGUGCUUUUAGAUUUGUAGCACCUCUGCUUCCUUCUAUGAUGGUAGCUGCUUAGACCUAUACAUGUGGGAUAAAUCACAGCAGUUAAUUUGUAACCUUUGAUUUAUUGCAAUAUACUGGGUCAACACCUGAGAAAGCACCAGGGGGUAGUGUUCUUUUUAAGUCAACAUGUCUAACUGGUUGUUUUGGUGACUUGCGGAACCCUCUCAGUGGAUCUUUGCAGCACAAUAUCAGUUCUGUGGGGUUUCAGGAUGGAAAACAUUGUUGUAAUGAAUACUAAAUCUAAAAUUUUAAAAACCAUUCCUCCUCUCUGGGUGAACUUUUGGAGUAAAGACAAGAAUCAGGAAAUGGUGGAGUCUGAUCCCAACCAAAAAUAUGAGGCCGAAUUAGUGUGGAGUUGGUUCCCUGCAAAGCAGGCAUCCCAUUUAUUAACAGGAAGUCAAACAUCUAGGUCCUAAUUUGCACUCAAAAGUCAAGGUGGGCCCAGGCCACCCAAGGGAGGGCAUCCUUGGGGGAAAUAACACCAUCUAGUGGCUGAAGAUACAGGUUCUGGCUGCCCAGAUCCCAGCCCUCUGGUCAGGUGAGUUCCUUUACCUCUCUGAAGCUUUUAUUUGCUAGUCUACCAAAUAGAAAUCUCAAAAUCUUUCCUCAUAGGAUUGUUAGGUGAAUUUUAAGAUGCAAUGCUUAAAGCACUAUCUCAAGGUCAGAAAUAUAGGGGGUGCACCAUUGACGUCAUGCUAACCUGUGAGUGGUAGCAACAGUAACAGCAGCAGCUUUGUGGAAAAAAAAUAAUGCAAAGAAAAGAGCAAAAAGAGCCUAUGGCAAGACUUGAUGAAGGCCCAGACCAAAGCAAGGCAGUGGGGUGGCCUUAGACCAUGCUUAGAAAGGAGCAGGAGAGGGGGCUUGGCGGGAGAGA